ensembl:lncRNA
UGGAUUGGAACGGGUGGGUAUGGGGCAGGCGGACGUGGGCUGAUAGACAUGGGGUAGGUGGACAGGGGACAGAUGGACAUGGGACAGAUGGACACAGCAUGCAUGAAUAUGGAUAGACUGACAUGGGAUGGAUGGAUACAGGGCGGGUGGACACGAGGUGGGAUGACGUGGGACGGGCAGACAUAGGAUGGAAGGGUAUGGAUAGAUGGACGUGGGACAGGUGGACACUGGGUGGAUAUGGGAUGGGCAGACAAGGGGUGGUGGAUGGACAUGGGGUGGACAGAUAUGGGAUGGAUGGAAUAUGGGAUGGGCAGACAUGGGAUGGAUGGACAUGGGAUGGACAGAUAUGGGAUAGGUAGAAAUGGGAUGGAUGGAUAUGGGAUGGAUGGAAUAUGGGAUGGAUGGAUAUGGGAUGGACAGAUAUGGGAUGGAUAGAAAUGGGAUGGAUGGAUAUGGGAUGGAUGGAGAUGGGAUGGAUGGAUAUGGGAUGGACAGACAUGGGAUGGACAGAUAUGGGAUGGAUGGGCAUGGGAUGGACAGAUAUGGGAUGGGUAGAAAUGGAUGGAUAUGGGAUGGAUGGACAUGGGAUGGAUGGAUGGAUAUGAAUGGAUGGGUAGGCAUUGGGUGGACCUGCGAUGGGUGGACAUGGGAUGGAUGGUAUGGGAUGGAUGGAUAUGGGAUGGAUGGGUAUGGGAUGGAUGGACACAGUGGAUGGAUAGAUAUGAAUGGAUGGGUAGACAUUGGGUGGACUUGGGAUCGGUGGACAUGGGAUGGAUGGGUAUGGGAUGGAUGGACAUGGGAUGGAUGGGUAUGGAAUGAUGGAUAUGGGCUUGAUGGAUAUGGGAUGGAUGGACAUGAAAAGCUAACAAGGGCCAGAUGGACGUGGGGGGGUGGCCCAGCACCCCACCUCCCUCCUCGCACCCAUCAGUGCUGCAGUACCCCCACCCAGCACCCACCCGCCCCAUCCCCGCACCCCCCGUGCCCCACAUCCCCCUCCCCACGGCGCCCAUCCAUGCUGGCUUUUCCGGCCCAGCUGUCCCGCGGGGCGCGGGGGCCGGGGCAGGAAUUCGGCCGGGGCUGAGCAGCGCGCGGCAGCUCCGGAGACAGAGCAGCCUCUGAAUGCAGGGAAUGUUUUUGCAGCUGGAGUCCAUUAGGGGAGGGCUCGGCGGCUUUAUUAAUCCCAGCCUUAUUGCUCAAGAGGCGCGGGAGGGCAGGGGGAGCGCGGGGUGCGCGCAGGGGGGAGAGCGGCCGUGAGGGGGGGUGUGGGGGGCAUAAAGAGCAGUGAGUGUGCGAGGAGGGUCUCCCUGACGACGGCCGUCCCUCCGCCGCGGGGCUUUUCUGCACCACGGAGGCUGCCCCUCUGCAGAGGUUUCCCCGCAGUGGAGGUUUCCCCCGUUAUGGAGCCGUCCCCGUGACGGAGGUUUCCCCAUCACUGAGGUUCCCCCACGGUGGGGUUCCCUCUAUGGCAGAGGUUCCCCCGUUCUGGGCACUCCCGCACGGCAGAUGGUGGAAGUAUCCUCCUGGUGAAGGUCUCCCCAAUCGCGGAGGUUCCUCCCUGCUGGAGGUGUCCCCACAGCAGAGGUUUGUCCUACAGUGGAGCUUUCCUCCUUGAUGGAGCCUUCCCCGCUGAUGGACGUUCCCCCAUUAUUGAGGCUCCCCCAGGAUGGAGGCUUCUUCACAGUAGGGUCCCACCGAGAUGGAGGUCCCCCAUCGGUUUCCCCGUGACAGAGGUUUCCCAUAACCGGGGUUCCCCUGUGGUGGAGGUUUCCCCAUUAGGGAUGUUUCCCCGUCACUGAGGUUUCUCUGCAAUGGAGGAUCCCAUUGAUGGAGGGUCCCCUUAACGGAGCUUCCUCCCAUGAUGGAGGCUCCACUGAUGGAGGUUCCCCCAUUGAUAGAGGUUCCCCCAUUGAUGGAGGUACUCCCCAUAAGCGCGGUUCCCACUGACUGAGGUUCCCACUGAUGGAGGUUCCCAUUGAUGGAGGUUCCCACUGAUGGAUGUGCUCCCCAUGAGCGCGGUUCCCACUGAUGAAGGCUCCCAUUGAUGGAGGCUCCCCAGCGCAGCCCCCCACCCUGGCAGGCUAUGGGGCAGAGCAGCACUGGGAGGAGAAGCAGUGGGGCAGCGGGGUCGGGUUUGUGCAGACGUGGAGCUGUGUGUGGGGCUGAGCCCCCCGCGCUGCCCCCCGCCUGCGCUCCCCUUCCUCUGCUUUGAUUUCUCAUUUCUCUUUUCUUGUUUCUUUUUAUGAUUUUUCCUUUCUUUUUUUUCUUUUUCUUUGUUUCAUUUCCCCCCUUUUCCUCUUUCUUUUUAUUUAUUCUUUUUCCUCUCUUUUCCUUUUUCUCAUUUCUUUUGGCUUUUCCUUCUUUUCCUUUUUCUUCCUCAUUUUUCCUUUUGUUGCUUUUUCUUUUCAUCUUUUUUCCUUUUUUUCCUUUCUUUCCUUUUUUCUUUUCUCACAUUUUUUAGUUAUUUUCCUCUAUUUUUUCUGGUUUCUUCUUUCCUUUGAUUUUAUUUUUAUUUUUCUCUCCUUUUUUCCCAAUUUUCUCUCCGUUUUUCUUUUUCCCAAUUUUUCUUCCCCCCCCUUUUUUCCCUCUGUUUUUUCUUCCUCCCUCCCCUCCUCUUCCUCCCCCCCCCCCGCUCCUUUCUCUCUCUCUCCCAUUUCUCUCCGUCCCCCUCCCCAUUUUCCUCCCCUCCUCCAAAGCCGCUCCGCCAUAGCGGUGUCUCCGCACCCCAAACCCAACGGCGCACACCGCCCGUCCCGCCCCACCCCCGUUCGUUCCCGCAGCCCCACCUGCGCCCCCCCCCGACCCC